UAUUAUCUCAUCGUCUAUCCCCCCACCUCUCCCCACCAGCACGUCUCCUGCCCAUCCCUCCACACAUCUUUCUGCAUCUCCUCCGACCCUCUCCAUCCCCUUCUGCUUCUCCUGCAGUGCCAGAUCGCCGCCUCAUCCGCGCUCUACUAUAAGCACCGGCGAGGUACAUGCUUCGCCUCCUCCAGAUCCACGAGGUGAUGCGGAAAGAAACUUGACAUCGAGGAUUCGAGAUGCCUUGACACACGAGGGCACUACAAAUCACGAGAAGAAGCUCCUCCCACGACCCCUUUCCGCUGAGCUCGGACAAAAGGAGCUCGCCGUGCAUGGGGAUAUUGACCACAAAGACCAGUGAUGGCUAUGGGAUCCUCAAAUCCACAAAUUUAUGCAGUUCCCUUUUCUCUUUAUCAUGUGGAUGUCAACAAAAAGGGACCCAUGUUAUAUUCUCAUGCACCAGAUUCAAUUGUUUGCAUCAAAGUUGUUUGGGUUCACCAGUAGGAAGCGUUCAGUUGUUUUUCGUCCACACCUAAUUGACUGCAAUUUCAGAUUGGUUUUUAUUUUUUCAGCAAUUUGAAACUGCAGAACGCAUGUUCAUCUUCCCCAAACCUACAAAGUAAAUAGUAAUAGUUUUUAUGAUGAUACAUGAGCCAGUACUAUGGCUCAUUUUGAUCUGCUAUUUGGAUAAAUACACUUUUGUGGAAUUGUACGUACCUCUCUUCAUGUUGUUUACAGGCAGCCGAAGUUACAGAUCCAGGCGUGAUGACUACAUGAGCCAGUACUAUGGCUCAUUUUGAUCUGCUAUUUGGAUAAAUACACUUUUGUGGAAUUGUACGUACCUCUCUUCAUGUUGUUUACAGGCAGCUGAAGUUACAGCUCCAGGCGUGAUGACUACAUGUAAUUGUUUGUACAUAAGCCUCAUCUCAAGAUAAAGUUGAUAGAAGUACUUUGUAUAUAUGAUCCCGCCAUUUAAAAAAAUAGGUAAGCACUAUGGGAUAGCUGGAGCGAUGUCUGUUUUAUUUACAAUGUGUAUAUCUAUGUAUCAUGACUUGUGGCUGCAUGCCUAUCAAGUAUUUGAUGCAUUCACAUGUGAUUAGUAAUGAUGUUAAGUCCUCCUAGUUAAUCUCAUAUAUACCUUUGCAAGUUGUGCUUUACGAUCCUAAUGAGAGAUUCGACAAGAAACAUUUUCCAAUCGGGAGAGGUUUCUUAUCAGUUCGAUGAGAAGUGCAAUAUUUAGUACGUGUUUUUCUUGCUUGUGUUUUCAACCAAUGUAUCAUCUAGCAACCUCUAUUCCAAAAAC
rnacentral:lncRNA from 1 species